rnacentral:rRNA from 1 species
CCAAUAGCGUAUAUUAAAGUUGUUGCAGUUAAAAAGCUCGUAGUUGAAUUUCGGGAUUGGCGCAUCGGUCGUGCCUCACGGGGUAUGAACUGGUGCAGUCAAUUUCUCACCUUCUGGAGAACCGCGAUGUCCUUAAUUGGAUGCCGCGGGGAACCAGGACCUUUACUUUGAAAAAAUUAGAGUGUUUAAAGCAGGCAUUUUUGCUUGAAUACAUUAGCAUGGAAUAAUAAAAUAGGACGGAAUGGUUCUAUUUUGUUGGUUUCUAGGACCACCGUAAUGAUUAAUAGGGAUAGUUGGGGGCAUUAGUAUUCAAUUGUCAGAGGUGAAAUUCUUGGAUUUAUUGAAGACUAACUAAUGCGAAAGCAUUUGCCAAGGAUGUUUUCAUUAAUCAAGAACGAAAGUUAGGGGAUCGAAGACGAUCAGAUACCGUCGUAGUCUUAACCAUAAACUAUGCCGACUAGGAAUCAGACGAUGUUAAUUUUUUAAUGACUCGUUUGGCACCUUACG